rnacentral:rRNA from 1 species
UUGGCCAUUCGGGGGGCUACCAUGCAAGCCGAGCGGGAUUUGUUGGUUAGCUUGCUAACUGAUGAUGAGAGCGGCGUACGGGUGCGUAACAUGUGUGCAAUCUGCCCUUAUCAAGGGGAUAGCCCGGAGAAAUCCGGAUUAAUACCCUAUAAUAUAUGGGAUGGCAUCAUAUCAUAUUGAAAGCAUUAGCGGAUAAGGAUGAGCACGCACAAGAUUAGCUAGUUGGUAAGGUAACGGCUUACCAAGGCGAUGAUCUUUAGGGGUCCUGAGAGGGAGAUCCCCCACACUGGGACUGAGACACGGCCCAGACUCCUACGGGAGGCAGCAGUGAGGAAUAUUGGACAAUGGGUGUAAGCCUGAUCCAGCCAUCCCGCGUGAAGGAAGACGGUUCUAUGGAUUGUAAACUUCUUUUAUACAGGGAUAAACCUACCCUCGUGAGGGUAGCUGAAGGUACUGUAUGAAUAAGCACCGGCUAACUCCGUGCCAGCAGCCGCGGUAAUACGGAGGGUGCAAGCGUUAUCCGGAUUUAUUGGGUUUAAGGGGUCCGUAGGCGGGCUGAUAAGUCAGUGGUGAAAUCCUGCAGCUUAACUGUAGAACUGCCAUUGAUACUGUUAGUCUUGAGUAUAUUUGAAGUAGCUGGAAUAAGUAGUUGUAGCGGUGAAAUGCAUAGAUAUUACUUAGAACACCAAUUGCGAAGGCAGGUUACUAAGAUAAGACUGACGCUGAGGGACGAAAGCGUGGGGGAGCGAACAGGAUUAGAUACCCUGGUAGUCCACGCUGUAAACGAUGCUGACUCGUUUUUGGGUUUUAUGGAUCAGAGACUAAGCGAAAGUGAUAAGUCAGCCACCUGGGGAGUACGACCGCAAGGUUGAAACUCAAAGGAAUUUGACGGGGGCCCGCACAAGCGGUGGAUUUAUGGUGGUUUAAUUCGAUGAUACGCGAGGAACCUUACCAAGACUUAAAUGGAAUUGACAGCUGUAGAAAUACGGUUUCUUCGGACAAUUUUCAAGGUGCUGCAUGAUGUCGUCAGCUCGUGCCGUGAGGUGUUAGGUUAAGUCCUGCAACGAGCGC